CUCGGCAACGGAUAUCUCGGCUCUCGCAUCGAUGAAGAACGUAGCGAAAUGCGAUACUUGGUGUGAAUUGCAGAAUCCCGUGAACCAUCGAGUCUUUGAACGCAAGUUGCGCCCGAAGCCUUCGGGCCGAGGGCACGCCUGCCUGGGCGUCACGCAUCGCGUCGCCCCAUCCCCCCGCUC
rnacentral:rRNA from 1 species